CACACACACACACACACACACACACACACACACACACACACACACACACACACACACACACACACACACACACACACACACACACACACACACACACACACACACACCCAUGACACUUAUACAGACAACAUGCUACGGAUGAAGACUGAGCCUGAGUAUGAAGAAAAGACGUUAUGUUUAUUGCCUGUUUUAGUUGUGGCCUGUCUAGUGUCCAUAAUGGGUGGUUCAUCUCUCCCUAGCCCUAUUCUGAUUGGUCCAGACAAGGCCUACCUCAACUCCAAGGUAGAGUUCCAAUGUAGGUCACCUGGGUCUCUCCACC